GGGGAACCAGGACUUUUACUUUGAAAAAAUUAGAGUGCUCCAGGCAGGCCUAUGCUCGAAUACAUUAGCAUGGAAUAAUAGAAUAGGACGUGUGGUUCUAUUYUGUUGGUUUCUAGGACCGCCGUAAUGAUUAAUAGGGACAGUYGGGGGCAUCAGUAUUCAAUUGUCAGAGGUGAAAUUCUUGGAUCUAUUGAAGACUAACUACUGCGAAAGCAUUUGCCAAGGAUGUCUUCAUUGAUAAGGAACGAAAGUUAGGGGAUCGAAGACGAUCAGAUACCGUCGUAGUCUUAACUAUAAACUAUGCCGACUAGGGAUCGGACGAUGUUAUCUUUUGACGCGUUCGGCACCUUUCGAGAAAUCAAAGUGCUUGGGCUCCAGGGGGAGUAUGGUCGCAAGGCUGAAACUUAAAGAAAUUGACGGAAGGGCACCACCAGGGGUGGAACCUGCGGCUUAAUUUGACUCAACACGGGGAAACUCACCAGGUCCAGACACAGUGAGGAUUGACAGAUUGAGAGCUCUUUCUUGAUUCUGUGGGUGGUGGUGCAUGGCCGUUCUUAGUUGGUGGAGUGAUUUGUCUGCUUAAUUGCGAUAACGAACGAGACCU
rnacentral:rRNA from 1 species